rnacentral:rRNA from 1 species
AACGAACGCUGGCGGCAGGCUUAACACAUGCAAGUCGAGCGCCCCGCAAGGGGAGCGGCAGACGGGUGAGUAACACGUGGGAACAUACCCAUCUCUUCGGAACAACUCCGGGAAACUGGAGCUAAUACCGCAUACGCCCUUAGGGGGAAAGAUUUAUCGGAGAUGGAUUGGCCCGCGUUGGAUUAGCUAGUUGGUGGGGUAAAGGCCUACCAAGGCGACGAUCCAUAGCUGGUCUGAGAGGAUGAUCAGCCACAUUGGGACUGAGACACGGCCAAAACUCCGACGGGAGGCAGCAGGGGGGAUUGUUGGACGAGGGGCGAAGGCCUGAUCCAGCCAUGCCGGGUGAGUGAUGAAGGCUUUGGGGUUGAAAAGCUCUUUCCCCGAUGAAGAUAAUGACGGUAGUGGGAGAAGAAGCCCCGGAUAACUUCGUGCCAGCCGCCGCAGUAA